AAGACUGGGAUAACUCCGGGAAACCGGGGCUAAUACCGGAUAACAUUUUGAACCGCAUGGUUCGAAAUUGAAAGGCGGCUUCGGCUGUCACUUAUGGAUGGGCCCGCGUCGCAUUAGCUAGUUGGUGAGGUAACGGCUCACCAAGGCAACGAUGCGUAGCCGACCUGAGAGGGUGAUCGGCCACACUGGGACUGAGACACGGCCCACACUCCUACGGGAGGCAGAAGUAGGGAAUCUUCCGCAAUGGACGAAAGUCUGACGGAGCAACGCCGCGUGAGUGAUGAAGGCUUUCGGGUCGUAAAACUCUGUUGUUAGGGAAAAACAAGUGCUAGUUGAAUAAUCUGGCACCUUGACGGUACCUAACCAAAAAGCCUCGGCUAACUACGUGCCAGCAGCCGCGGUAAUACGUAGGUGGCAAGCGUUAUCCGGAAUUAUUGGGCGUAAAGCGCGCGCAGGUGGUUUCUUAAGUCUGAUGUGAAAGCCCACGGCUCACCCGUGGAGGGUCAUUGGAAACUGGGAGACUUGAGUGCAGAAGAGGAAAGUGGAAUUCCGUGUGUAGCGGUGAAAUGCGUAGAGAUAUGGAGGAACACCAGUGGCGAAGGCGACUUUCUGGUCUGUAACUGACACUGAGGCGCGAAAGCGUGGGGAGCAA
rnacentral:rRNA from 1 species